rnacentral:rRNA from 1 species
UACGUAGGGUGCGAGCGUUAAUCGGAAUUACUGGGCGUAAAGCGUGCGCAGGCGGUUUUGUAAGCCAGAUGUGAAAUCCCCGGGCUUAACCUGGGAACUGCAUUUGGGACUGCAAGGCUAGAGUGUGGCAGAGGGGGGUAGAAUUCCUGGUGUAGCAGUGAAAUGCGUAGAUAUCAGGAGGAAUACCGAUGGCGAAGGCAGGUCUCUGGGCUAUAACUGACGCUCAUGCACGAAAGCGUGGGGAGCAAACAGG